rnacentral:rRNA from 1 species
CAGCAGCCACGGUAAUACGAAGGGGGCUAGCGUUGUUCGGAUUUACUGGGCGUAAAGCGCACGUAGGCGGACGCUUAAGUCAGGGGUGAAAUCCCGAGGCUCAACCUCGGAACUGCCUUUGAUACUGGGUGUCUUGAGUCCGGAAGAGGUGAGUGGAACUGCGAGUGUAGAGGUGAAAUUCGUAGAUAUUCGCAAGAACAUCAGUGGCGAAGGCGGCUCACUGGUCCGGAACUGACGCUGAGGUGCGAAAGCGUGGGGAGCAAACAGGAUUAGAUACCCCUGUAGUCCCUGUCUCUUAUAC